rfam:Rhodopirellula maiorica SM1 cSM10630, whole genome shotgun sequence.
GGGGGAUUAGCUCAGUUGGGAGAGCGCCUGCAUGGCAUGCAGGAGGUCAUCGGUUCAAGUCCGUUAUCCUCCA